AUGAACGCUAGCGGCAGGCUUAACACAUGCAAGUCGAGGGGUAGUUGUCUUCGGAUAAUGAGACCGGCGCACGGGUGCGUAACGCGUAUACAAUCUACCUUUUACAGAGGGAUAGCCCAGAGAAAUUUGGAUUAAUACCUCAUAGUAUUUUUGAAUCGCAUGAUUUGAUUAUUAAAGUUCCAACGGUAAAAGAUGAGUAUGCGUCCCAUUAGCUAGAUGGUAAGGUAACGGCUUACCAUGGCAACGAUGGGUAGGGGUCCUGAGAGGGAGAUCCCCCACACUGGUACUGAGACACGGACCAGACUCCUACGGGAGGCAGCAGUGAGGAAUAUUGGACAAUGGGCGCAAGCCUGAUCCAGCCAUGCCGCGUGCAGGAAGAAGGUCCUAUGGAUUGUAAACUGCUUUUAUACAGGAAGAAACACCUCUACGUGUAGAGACUUGACGGUACUGUAUGAAUAAGGACCGGCUAACUCCGU
rnacentral:rRNA from 1 species